UCUCUGUGGAAACCCAGAGCUGCUGGAAGAAUUCCAGGGCAUCUGUUAAGGGAAACAUGCCCCCCCUAAUUUUCAAGAGGCUUGUUCUUGCUGUGCCCAACAUUGUUCUGUGUGAUAUCUGUGCCAAUGCUGACUGCACUAGCUGUUAUUGAUGGUGGUAGAUGAUGUGCCUGGCAGAAGGAUUGAUUAGCAAAAGCUAGCAGAAGACCUGAGAUUUCUGAUUGUGCCCUUGUCUUCUUCUCUCCUUCCUUCCUGCUGAGGUUUGGAAGGAGCAGCGAUGUUCUUUUAGCUCUCCCGAAUCUUCACAUCAAUUUCCGAGAUGUGGCAAUUCCAGGCAAACCUCCCCAGAGCUUUCAUGUUUACUGUCCUUCCUGAUGGAGAGGUUCAGCGACUGUGUCCUACUUUUCAACUAUUUCUGAACCGUGUUUCAGUGUGGGCAUUGCUCUUGUCAAUAACAGCCAUCAACAAAACAUCCCUUCUCACAUGGAGAAGGCAUCUCCCGUUGGGUGUUUGACCCUUCCGUUACCUGGUCAUUGUAGCAACUCUUAAAGGAUUUGCACUUCCAUGUUGUUCAUGCACAAAUCUCAAAUAAAUACAUGGUUACA